GAUGAACGCUGGCGGCGUGCUUAACACAUGCAAGUCGAACGGUGAAGGCGGAGCUUGCUCUGCUGGAUCAGUGGCGAACGGGUGAGUAACACGUGAGCAAUCUGCCCCUGACUCUGGGAUAAGCGCUGGAAACGGCGUCUAAUACUGGAUACGAGCUGCGAAGGCAUCUUCAGCAGCUGGAAAGAACUUCGGUCAGGGAUGAGCUCGCGGCCUAUCAGCUUGUUGGUGAGGUAACGGCUCACCAAGGCGUCGACGGGUAGCCGGCCUGAGAGGGUGACCGGCCACACUGGGACUGAGACACGGCCCAGACUCCUACGGGAGGCAGCAGUGGGGAAUAUUGCACAAUGGGCGAAAGCCUGAUGCAGCAACGCCGCGUGGGGGACGACGGCCUUCGGGUUGUAAACCUCUUUUAGCAGGGAAGAAGCGAAAGUGACGGUACCUGCAGAAAAAGCGCCGGCUAACUACGUG
rnacentral:rRNA from 1 species